rnacentral:lncRNA from 1 species
UUUCACGCUGAUUGUUCGGUAACUCGCUGGCAUUCCGCGUUUCCAUCUUUACGCAAAUCAUGAACCAUUUUUAAAACAAAUACAAAUCAAUGUCAGAUCGUUGCCAAGUUUACGAGUCGUGCUAGACACUAUAAAACCGAAGCCUCUCAUCCAUUUCGACACACCAUCUUAUACGGUCCGCCCCACUUGUUUGACACAAUACCAUAUCACCCUUCGUAUAGCGUUGCACGUCGUCGGGGGUUCGCCGGAGCCCGUCGGAGUCCGGAGACGAAAACGACAUCGGAGGUUUGCAACGGGAUUCACAAAUCACGACGUUCGUCCGCACCUGUCUUCCACUCGGUGAAGAUGAUAUAGAUGGUUCGGGUUCACGUCUUUUCGUCGCGGACAAUCGCUUGUUCGUUCUCUUGGAUUCUCCACCUUUACUCGUGCGUUCUUACAAGAAUCGCAACGCAAUCAACGUUGAUAGAUGAAGAAUUCAAGAAUCCAGUUAGGGUGGAUUAGAAACACACCUAGAAAUAAACUAUGUUGGAAUCUUGUUUUGUUUAUUUGAACAAUGUAUGACAUUUUAGCAUUUAUGAAAUUGAAUUUAAAUU